rnacentral:lncRNA from 1 species
AUGGUCCAGCAUUUGACAUACAUGUAGGCUUUCCUACAAUAUAGCUUUUAACAAAACUAGGCUGUCCUGAGCCCCUGGUAAUAGAAUUGAUUACCUUUAUACCAAGAGGGUUGGGAAAGCACUGAAAUCUGCAUGUGGCGUGUGCCCAGCAGACUUCGGGGGGUUUGUGCUAUGAGACCUAAAGUUCCUAUGAGAUUGUCCAAAACAAAAAAGCAUGUCAGCAGGGCCUAUGGUGGAUCCGUGUGUGCUGAAUGUAUUGGUGCAGGAGCAAGUGUGCUUUCCUUAGCAAGCAGCAGAAAAUUGUUGUGAAAGUGUUGAAGGCACAAGCAGAGUCAGAAAGCUCAA